GUUGAGGAUGACCCCCUUCUCUCGGACUGUAUCGGAAGCGCACACCUGCACAAACAGUGUGCAAGUGCUCCCCUUCCUCCGCCCUCACCGCACGUACACACGCCCACACACCAAAAGUGUCUCAUUUUGCUGUGUGCACAGUUCCCCUCUCGCCCCCACCUGAUCGUUCCCAACGUACGGUUCACGGAGUCCUGUGCCGGACGGUGCGCUCACGCGUACCUGUCAACGAGUGGAUGCGCAUCCUCCUUUGUUCCGUGGUGUUUUACGGGUUUACUUGAAUGGUGAUAACCCUGGUGUAGCACCUUGCGUGCGAGCGUGUGUGUGUGUGCAGCAGCGUUUGUCUUUGCAGAAAGAUCUUCUUUUCCCACGUUCUUUUUCCACCUGCCUCAUCUUUUCCUUUCUGGCUUUUCAUUGUUAUGCACAUUGACCGCCAUGUUCGCCUUCUAGUGGGGCGCGGAGCAGGAGCAAGGGUGACCAACACUCACAUGCACACGUGCUUGCACAACACCUCUUGUGCCGCCGCACGACAAUGGCACCCGCAUCGCUGCUGGCGCUUGUCUGAUAUGCAUUUUCGUUUUCUCAUCGCCAUCUUGAUCUCUCUCUCUUCCUCUCGUAGAUUCGGUUUUGCAGUAUUCUUCUGUUUCACACCUACUGGUUUCUGCCAUUCGCCUCUACUCCCUUCUUCUAUUUUGUCGACAGCACCCACACACACCCUCGUAGGCACACGCGGCAUCGGAGAGGGCCCCUCUCAUCUCUGGGAGGCGUCGUGUGUGCUUGCAUUGCGACCCGGGCUGCUGGCCACCCUCCCAACGCCUCAGCACGCGGCGUUGACGCGUUUCGCAGCUCGUUUGCUGUAUGCAUAUGCGUCUCCGAGACACGUGGGCGGGGAGUAGCGAACGUUGUAUCGUCGGCGAGCACAACGUGUACAGGAUGGAGCGACCGGGCCGCGUGCCGCUGUGCGAGACAAUAGGCCCCUGUGCCCUCUAUUCGGUUAGGUUUCUCUCUGAUCUCACGUCAUAUGCUCAUCCUACACCAUCACAAGCCGUGCAAACGUGCAGUGUGUGCGUAUGGGAUUCAGCGAUGCGAACCUCGUUGCAGCUGUG
rnacentral:misc_RNA from 1 species